AGCUCGAUGAGUAGGGCGGGACACGUGGUAUCCUGUCUGAAUAUGGGGGGACCAUCCUCCAAGGCUAAAUACUCCUGACUGACCGAUAGUGAACCAGUACCGUGAGGGAAAGGCGAAAAGAACCCCGGCGAGGGGAGUGAAAAAGAACCUGAAACCGUGUACGUACAAGCAGUGGGAGCCCCACCACUAAGCCAGUGGUGAACUCCACAUACGCAUCCUUUGCUGAGGAUACGGUUAACGGAGCGAAAGCGACGUUCAACCGCAAAAGAAGCAGAGGGGGCUUAGUGGUGGGGUGACUGCGUACCUUUUGUAUAAUGGGUCAGCGACUUAUAUUCUGUAGCAAGGUUAACCGAAUAGGGGAGCCGGAGGGAAACCGAGUCUUAACCGGGCGUUAAGUUGCAGGGUAUAGACCCGAAACCCGGUGAUCUAGCCAUGGGCAGGUUGAAGGUUGGGUAACACUAACUGGAGGACCGAACCGACUAAUGUUGAAAAAUUAGCGGAUGACCUGUGGCUGGGGGUGAAAGGCCAAUCAAACCGGGAGAUAGCUGGUUCUCCCCGAAAGCUAUUUAGGUAGCGCCUCGUGAAUUCAUCUCCGGGGGUAGAGCACUGUUUCGGCUAGGGGGCCAUCCCGGCUUACCAACCCGAUGCAAACUGCGAAUACCGGAGAAUGUUAUCACGGGAGACACACGGCGGGUGCUAACGUCCGUCGUGAAGAGGGAAACAACCCAGACCGCCAGCUAAGGUCCCAAAGUCAUGGUUAAGUGGGAAACGAUGUGGGAAGGCCCAGACAGCCAGGAUGUUGGCUUAGAAGCAGCCAUCAUUUAAAGAAAGCGUAAUAGCUCACUGGUCGAGUCGGCCUGCGCGGAAGAUGUAACGGGGCUAAACCAUGCACCGAAGCUGCGGCAGCGAACGUAUCACUUAAAGCGAUUCAGCGGGUUACGAUUGACGGAGCGA
rnacentral:rRNA from 1 species